CUUGAGUCAGUUGUGGAUGGCCCACUGUCUGCUACGAAUCUCAAUUCAACCAGCUAGAAGGCAAUAAGUUAAGCAACAACGAUGGUUAACCUGAUUCUAUAUGGAACUGAGUCCAGUCCGCCGGUCCGUGCCGUUUUGCUGACCCUUCGUGCCCUCCAGCUGGACCAUGAGUUCCAUACACUGGACAUGCAGGCCGGCGAUCAUCUGAAGCCGGAUAUGUUAAACAAGAAUCCCCAGCACACGGUGCCCAUGCUGGAGGAUGGUGAGUCGUGCAUUUGGGACUCACACGCCAUCAUCGGAUAUCUGGUGAACAAGUACGCCCAGUCGGAUGAGCUCUAUCCAAAGGAUGCGCUGAAGCGAGCUGUGGUGGAUCAGCGGCUGCAUUUCGAGACCGGUGUCCUUUUUCACGGCAUCUUCAAGCAACUGCAGAGAGCUCUGUUCCAGGAGAAUGCCACUGAGGUGCCCAAGGAUCGCCUGGCUGAGCUGAAGGAUGCCUACGCUUUGCUGGAGCAGUUUCUGGCGGAGAAUCCCUAUGUGGCCGGUCCUCAGCUGACCAUCGCCGACUUUAGCAUUGUGGCCACCGUGAGCACUCUGCACCUGAGCUACUGUCCCGUGGAUGCGACCAAAUAUCCCAAGUUAUCCGCCUGGUUGGCACGCAUUUCCGCAUUGCCCUUCUAUGAGGAGGACAACUUGAGAGGAGCCCGCUUGCUGGCCGAUAAGAUCCGCUCCAAGCUGCCCAAGCAGUUUGACAAGCUGUGGCAAAAGGCCUUUGAGGACAUCAAGAGCGGAGCUGGAAAACAAUGAUGCGGAAGCCAUUGUCUCAUCGAUAAGAGAGCAUUGCCUAAAGUAAAAUUGAACUCGUGACUUUGUGGGCAUCUCAGGAACUUACCUUGCGUCGCCGCGUUUUAUGCGCCUCAUUGCAGCGGCGACGAGAAAGUGGUGGCAGCAAACUAAUUGGUUUAAUUUCAACUUUUACUUUGGCCCGACCAGUCACCAUGCCACCCCAACGCACCCCAUCUCGCCGCGUCACCCAACCACCCCCACAUCCUUGCCAGCAUGGCUCCACGAAAAUUCCACCCAUCGUGUCAGUGGCAUUUCAGAAGUUUGCUUUGCUUUACGCUCCGCCUGCCACUUCAGUUGCCUUCUCGAUUUUACUUUUUCCUUUUUCGCCUUUACAGGAUUCCACUUGGCCGGUUUAUUUCCUGUUUUUUUUUCAUUUCAUCUCAAUUUAUCCUAG